rnacentral:rRNA from 1 species
AAGAUGGCGACCGGCGCACGGGUGAGUAACACGUAUCCAACCUGCCGAUAACUCCGGAAUAGCCUUUCGAAAGAAAGAUUAAUACCGGAUAGUAUACGAAUAUCGCAUGAUAUUUUUAUUAAAGAAUUUCGGUUAUCGAUGGGGAUGCGUUCCAUUAGUUUGUUGGCGAGGUAACGGCCCACCAAGCCUUCGAUGGAUAGGGGUUCUGAGAGGAAGGUCCCCCACAUUGGAACUGAGACACGGUCCAA